UACGAAGGGGGCUAGCGUUGCUCGGAAUUACUGGGCGUAAAGGGCGCGUAGGCGGACAGUUUAGUCAGAGGUGAAAGCCCAGGGCUCAACCUUGGAAUUGCCUUUGAUACUGGCUGUCUUGAGUUCGGGAGAGGUGAGUGGAAUGCCGAGUGUAGAGGUGAAAUUCGUAGAUAUUGGGAGGAACACCAGUGGCGAAGGCGGCUUCCCUGGCCUGUUCUUGACGCUGAGGCGCGAAAGCUAGGGGAGCAAACAGG
rnacentral:rRNA from 1 species